rnacentral:rRNA from 1 species
AGUGAACGCUGGCGGUAGGCCUAACACAUGCAAGUCGAACGGCAGCACAGUAAGAGCUUGCUCUUACGGGUGGCGAGUGGCGGACGGGUGAGGAAUACAUCGGAAUCUACUUUUUCGUGGGGGAUAACGUAGGGAAACUUACGCUAAUACCGCAUACGACCUACGGGUGAAAGCAGGGGAUCUUCGGACCUUGCGCGAUUGAAUGAGCCGAUGUCGGAUUAGCUAGUUGGCGGGGUAAAGGCCCACCAAGGCGACGAUCCGUAGCUGGUCUGAGAGGAUGAUCGGCCACACUGGAACUGAGACACGGUCCAGACUCCUACGGGAGGCAGCAGUGGGGAAUAUUAGACAAUGGGCGCAAGCCUGAUCCAGCCAUACCGCGUGGGUGAAGAAGGCCUUCGGGUUGUAAAGCCCUUUUGUUGGGAAAGAAAAGCAGCAGGUUAAUACGCCGCUGUUCUGACGGUACCCAAAGAAUAAGCACCGGCUAACUUCGUG